rnacentral:rRNA from 1 species
GCGGUCACGCCCAAGCACUAACAAAUUCGAAGUGGUAACGGGGAAACGGUCUCUUUGCUUCCGGACCUAGCGGCCGAACGGGUGAGUAAUGCUUUGGGAAUACUGCCUUGUUAGUGGGGGGAUAACAUAUUGGAAAGGGAUGGCUAAUACCGCAUACGUCUUACGGGACCAAAGCAGGGGGAUCUUUCGGACCUUGUUGCUAAUAGGAGAGCCUAAGUUGGGAUUAGGCUAGUUGGGGGGGUAAAGGCCUCCCAAGGGGACGAUUCCUAGGGGGUUUGAGAGGAAGAUCCACCCCCAUGGGAAUGAGACACGGCCCCGAAUUCUACGGGAGGCAACCGUGGGGAAUAUUGGCCAAAGGGGGGCACCCUGAUCCCACCCUGCCGGGUGUGAGAAGAAGGCCUUAUGGUUGUAAAGCAAUUUUCGCGAGGAAGAAGGUACGUUAGUUAAUACCUAGAGAUCGUGGACGUUACUCGCAGAAUAAGCACCGGCUAACUCUGUGCCAGCAGCCGCGGUAAUACAGAGGGUGCAAGCGUUAAUCGGAUUUACUGGGCGUAAAGCGCGCGCAGGCGGCUUAUUAAGUCGGAUGUGAAAUCCCCGAGCUCAACUUGGGAAUUGCAUUCGAUACUGGCGAGCUAGAGUAUGGGAGAGGAUGGUAGAAUUCCAGGUGUAGCGGUGAAAUGCGUAGAGAUCUGGAGGAAUACCGAUGGCGAAGGCAGCCAUCUGGCCUAAUACUGACGCUGAGGUACGAAAGCAUGGGGAGCAAACAGGAUUAGAUACCCUGGUAGUCCAUGCCGUAAACGAUGUACUGAGCUAGGCAGUUGGUGCCUUUGAGGCUUUACUUGCCGCGAGCUAAACGCCGAUAAG